rnacentral:rRNA from 1 species
GUGGGGAAUAUUGGACAAUGGGCGAAAGCCUGAUCCAGCCAUGCCGCGUGUGUGAAGAAGGUCUUCGGAUUGUAAAGCACUUUAAGUUGGGAGGAAGGGCAGUAAGUUAAUAUCUUGCUGUUUUGACGUUACCGACAGAAUAAGCACCGGCUAACUUCGUGCCAGCAGCCGCGGUAAUACGAAGGGUGCAAGCGUUAAUCGGAAUUACUGGGCGUAAAGCGCGCGUAGGUGGUUUUGUAAGUUGGAGGUGAAAUCCCCGGGCUCAACCUGGGAACUGCCUCCAAAACUGCAUGACUAGAGUACGGUAGAGGGUAGUGGAAUUUCCUGUGUAGCGGUGAAAUGCGUAGAUAUAGGAAGGAACACCAGUGGCGAAGGCGACUACCUGGACUGAUACUGACACUGAGGUGCGAAAGCGUGGGGAGCAAUCAGGAUUAGAAACCCCGGUAGUCC